ACUUCCCAUACGAUCACAGAAAUUAAGCAACGUCGAGACUGGUCAGUACCUAGAUGGGUGACCGCUUUGGAAUACCAGGUGCUAU